ensembl:snoRNA
CUUCCCAUUUAUUUACUGCUAUAAUCUCUCAAUGACAUGAGCACUUAUACGCAUGGGAUAAAAUAAUAUUUGGCCAUUGUAAAUUGGGAUGAAGCAACUAUAUUUCAUCUCUUCUGCAUUGUCUAGACAUCA